UACGUAGGUGGCAAGCGUUUAUCCGGAAUUAUUGGGCGUAAAGCGCGCGCAGGUGGUUUCUUAAGUCUGAUGUGAAAGCCCACGGCUCAACCGUGGAGGGUCAUUGGAAACUGGGAGACUUGAGUGCAGAAGAGGAAAGUGGAAUUCCAUGUGUAGCGGUGAAAUGCGUAGAGAUAUGGAGGAACACCAGUGGCGAAGGCGACUUUCUGGUCUGUAACUGACACUGAGGCGCGAAAGCCGUGGGGAGCAAACAGG
rnacentral:rRNA from 1 species